AACACGUGGAUAAUCUACCCGACAAUCAGGGAUAACAUUCCGAAAGGAAUGCUAAUACCUAAUAAGCCCACGACGUCUUCGGACGAUGUGGGAAAAGGUGGGGACCUUCGGGCCUGCCGUUGUCGGAUGAGUCCGCGGCCCAUUAGCUAGUUGGUAGGGUAAUGGCCUACCAAGGCUACGAUGGGUAGCUGGUCUGAGAGGAUGAUCAGCCACACUGGAACUGAGACACGGUCCAG
rnacentral:rRNA from 1 species